CCCUUAAACUCUCUCUGCUCCCAAGAGUGCUUUGCUAAGGAGUCUUAGAGAUAGCAGUAACUGCUGCGGCUUGGGAUGGAUGCAAGCGGUGGUGAUGGCCGAGAGAGGAGGGAUGAGAUCUCUCUUCUUGCUGAAGAACUAGUUCAGUUAUCUGUCAAAGGCUCGAUGGUGGCUCCAAGUUCUAAACCUACAUUGAUAUGAACGGUUUGGACAGAAAAGCUGUAUAACACAGACAACUUUAGGGCUCAUAUGAAAGGUAUAUGGAAAACAAGGAAAAAGUUUGAAAUACAUGUGGCUGGUCAAAAUUUAUUCUUAAUAAUUUUUGAGACUGAAGACGAUCUGGAACUGAUUUUGGAAGGAAGACCUUGGCUUUUCUGGAAAAGCUUAAUUUUAUUCGACAGAUUAUGCCAAGCGGUGGAGAGGGACCAGAUCAGGCUUAUUUCAUCCCCUUUUUGGAUAAAAAUUGAAACGUGUUUCCCUGAGAUCGACAAGAAAGAUUUAUUGCAUGCGAUUGGUGGGACUUUUGGUGGGGUUCUCAGAUCUGAAAUUAGUGAAGAAUUCUGUCGACUCAGAAUUAAUUUGGAUGUCCAGAAACCACUUAGAAGAGGUAUUUUUGUCGUUACUGAUCAUGUUAGUAAAGUAUGGAUCCCCUUUAAGUAUGAAAACCUGCAAAUGUUCUGUUUUGGUUGUGGAAGAAUGGGGCAUGGGUUGAGUAAUUGCACUCAGAUAUCACCU
rnacentral:lncRNA from 1 species